CUUGAUCUGAACUUCAGCAGACUACAGGGAAUUGUGAGAGUAAGAGAAUCUUAUCUGGACCUGGAGUGAGUCCAAUCAAGUAGUGGGUCCUGGCUUGGAUUCAGGCAACUGGACAAUGAAAGAGGAAACAGACUGCACGUCUUGACUUUCCUCCAGCACUCAGGCUGACCAGAUGCCAAAGAAAAAAGCCUAGGAAAAAAACAAUAUGAAAGGAAGGCAAGGUAAUUACUUUAUUUAUGUAUCUUCCUACUUCCUUUAAACUAGUUGACAGUUUUAAAUCGCUUUAAAGUAUUUUCUGUUCUAGAUGUCCUUUUUUUUUUUUUUUUUCUUAGAUACU
rnacentral:lncRNA from 13 species